UAAUAAUUUAUAAUAUAUAUCACUUUUUUUUUUCCUUUUCCCCCUAACAAGGUCCCUGAUGCCCUGGAUAGCAGAGUACCACAGUCUGACAGGCCCUGGAAGGAAAGCUGGAGGCUCUAAGUCAAGGACAAAGGUACCUAUGAGAAGGGAAAGGUGGAAACAGAAAUAAGGAACAGAUUCUCAGAAGGGAUGUAGAAGAAUGUGGUCCAGGGAAGGGCUGUGCAUCCUGCACUUGACAAACGGGGAGAGAGGUCCCUCGAGGAAUUCCAGGUGAAGGUUCCCAGCAUAUAGCCCCUGCCCCUCCAGAGGGGAGCUGUCUAAGGAACCUGCAGAAUGUGGUGGAAUGACUGACUGAGGGCAUGAGGAAGCUGGACAGGCACAGAGAACGUGCAAGAUUGAUCCAGUCACUGGGGCACCUGGGUGGCUCAGUCAGUUAAGUGUCUGACUCUUGAUUUCGGCUCAGGCCCUGAUUUCUGGGUUGUGAGAUAAGCCCCUUGUUGGGUUCCACACUCAGUAGGGAUUCAGCUAAAGGAUUCUCUCUCUCCCUCUCCCUUUUCCCCUCUCCCCUUCUCUCUCUCUCUCUCAAAUAAAUUUUUGUUUGUUUCUUUGUUUUAAGAAGCAGAUUGAUCCAGUCACUGCUCAAGACACUGUCAGCUUAGGGGUACCUGGGUGGCUCAGUCGUUAAGCGUCUGCCUUCAGCUCAGGUCAUGAUCCCGGGGUCCUGGGAUCGAGCCCCGCAUUGGGCUCCCUGCUCCACGGGGAAGCCUGCUUCGCCCUCUCCCACUCCCCCUGCUUGUGUUCCCUCUCUCGCUUUGUGGGAGUUCCACCCCCACACUCCUCUCAAGACACCCCCUAGCACUUCCUCCCAUCAGAAGAGCCUUGUUCCCAACUGUGCUCCCUGAUAUUUGCUCACAUGGGCAGGGACCUUAAUUGUGCUGACUUGGAUGUUCCUGCUGCCCUAGACUCCUUGCUCUUGGUGUUUAUUGACUCUGACCUCUGCCAGAAUAUGAAGUCAAGGAGAAUCUUUUCCUGUUUUGAUCACCUGUGCAUCCCCUGGUCUUGCAUAAUGUCUAGCAGAAAAUAAGCAUGGAUCUGUGUCUAUUGAAUGAAUGAAUCCAGGAGAAGGAAACAGCUGUGUGGAGAGGGAAGAGCAUUUCUAUCAGAGAGAACAGCAAGGAGCAGUGAGGAUGGUGUGUUCUAGGCUCAGCAGUAUCCCAUUGCGUGUAAACACCGCAUCUUGUCCGGUGUUCCCGGGCCGCCAGGGGCGGGCGGCACUGCAAGUCGUCCCUGCGCGCAACGCAUGGCGGCGCGCCAUUCCGGUCUCGGCGGGAGCCUGGUUGGGCUCACAGUUGCCGCUGCCGGUGGCCCUGUUAAAAUCAGCAUUCCUCGGAAGUUUGCCCACUUCAGCAACAUCUGCUAAAUGCCUGUGUGCCAGACGCUUCUCCGGGCUCUAAGGUGCCUGGGUCAGGUGGGGGAAAGAGGCGACUGUAAACCUGGUUCAGGUAUCGAGGAGAGCCAGGACGUCCUCACGCCACGGAACAGGCCGAUGGUACUGUAUCCGUGCGUAAGUUUAUUAUGAGCGUCGCUGAGAUCAAGCGUGGGCCGCGCACCGUCUACAGAGAGUGAGAAAACGAACAGCAGUCUUGCUCGUAAAUCUCCUAGAGACCACUGGUGCCCGGAGAGUGCUUUUCCUUUCUUUCGCCGGACUCUUGUACCCUGGCCAACCUGUAGUUGAAAUUCUCCCCGUGAUCUGGCAAAUGGAGUUGCCUCCCAACCUAUUUUCCCAACAAGCUUGUCAUUAAAUGUAAUCUGUGAUAUGAACAUGGUGGAUGUUACAUUAAUAAGACAGAAAUGAAGCCCAAAAGACUUCAGAGUUUCAUCACUGAUGUGAGCGACUUCUUCGACCGUGGUUUACAAAUACAGUUGUUCCUCAACGCUUUGUGCUGUUUACAAUAUAAAGGCUACAGGCUUGACACAAAGUUAAGUUGAACUACAUUGUUAAUUUUCUCUAUUACUUUCUUGAGUCUAGACCGGGGGUUGGGUCAGAUGGCAAAUAUCUUCGGCUCUGCCAGACACAUGUCAUCUCUGUCGCAUAUUCUUUGUUUUGUUUUGUCUACCACCCUUUUCAACCUUCAAGCUCUGAACUAUAGAAUUUUCAGAUUCCCGCAAUAUAAAUAUUCCUCUGACGGCCUACUGCAAGCUACCGACCUGGACUGUCUGAGUGCAGGGUUGAGAAUGCUAUUUCCAGCACAUGGAUCCAAUAAAUGUAAAUUACCCCAAGAGCAUAGGUCAUGGUAGGAGAAUUGGGAAGUAAUGUGUUUUGAGACCUUGUUGUCAACAGUACUGAUAUCACUGUAAACUUGUAUAAUUAAACUUUUGAUAAUAUCUGUUUAACAGCAAGCCCACAGAAUUCCUGAAAAUUUAACGUUGGGUUCUCAUGAGUCGGCUCCAGCUCGGCACUAGUUUUACCUCUAAGUGGAGAUGGGGGUGGGUAAGUUAGGCUUCUGGGUUGGUGGUCAGUGUUCAGUUUUGUCACCUGGGUUCCACUUAGGUACACCCCAAGGGGACUUCCAGUGAGUCAACAGCCUGUAUCAUCCCCUCCCUGUGAGUGUGGGCUGGACCGGUCAUGUGCUUCUAACCAGUAACAGAAUUUGGUGAAAAGGGUAGGAUGUCCCUCCCUUGAUGAUGUCAUGUCAAAUGGGAAGGAUGAUGGAUGUCAUGCCCAUCGUGCUCAUGUUCCCGGGAUGACUGGAGACAGACUCUCCUGCUGGCCUGGCAAGAGCAAACAGCCAAGUGAACAGCCCCCGGAGGGGGCCAUGUGGCAGGGGACUGUGGGCAGCCUCUGGGACCUGAGGGUGGCCUCCAGCCAGCAGCCAGGAAGAAGCUGGGACCCUCAGUCAUGCAAUCGUGAGAAUAUGCAUCUGCCAGGGACCUGAAUGAGCUUGAAUGACUGGCACCUCGAGAUGAGAAGAAAGCUCAGCCUAUACCUGGAUUAUAGCCCCAUGAGACCCUGAGUCAGACCCAGCUACAACUGAGCCCUUGCUCUUGCCCCACGGAAGUGGAGGUAAGUGCAUUUUUUAAAGAUCUUAUUU